GUGUCAGCCGCCGCGGUAAUACGUAGGGUGCGAGCGUUAAUCGGAAUUACUGGGCGUAAAGCGUGCGCAGGCGGUUCGUUGUGUCGGCGGUGAAAGCCCCGGGCUCAACCUGGGAAUGGCCGUUGAAACUGGCGAACUGGAGUGUGGCAGAGGGGGGUGGAAUUCCGCGUGUAGCAGUGAAAUGCGUAGAGAUGCGGAGGAACACCGAUGGCGAAGGCAGCCCCCUGGGCUAACACUGACGCUCAGGCACGAAAGCGUGGGGAGCAAACAGGAUUAGAUACCCGUGUAGUCC
rnacentral:rRNA from 1 species